rnacentral:sRNA from 1 species
UCACGGAUUUCGUUGGAGACAACAACAUAGAGCAUAUAAAAUCUCUACACUACAACAAAACUAGCACUCCUCCUAGGCAAAAUUAACAAUAGUAAACUCAUGAGGCUUCAGAAGUUUAUCAUUCACUCACUUGUUCAAAGCCAAAAAUAGCUU